rnacentral:lncRNA from 1 species
AUUUUUCUUUUAUUCCAUCUAUUUUCAUUAAUUCAUAUUAAUUUUAGUAUUAAUCCAAAAAUUAUGAGAGUUUCACAAAUAAUUUCAAAUAAUUUCCUCUUUCAUAUUUUGAAUUAAAAUUAUUUUUAGGAUCAUUAUUAAUAUUUUUCAUGAUUUAAUUGAUUUUGUGUUUCUUUUUAAUUGUUUAAAAAUACUUUUAAGUCUUUAAAAAU